rnacentral:rRNA from 1 species
AUUGAACGCUGGCGGCAUGCCUUACACAUGCAAGUCGAACGGUAACAGGUCUUCGGAUGCUGACGAGUGGCGAACGGGUGAGUAAUACAUCGGAACGUGCCUAGUAGUGGGGGAUAACUACUCGAAAGAGUGGCUAAUACCGCAUGAGAUCUACGGAUGAAAGCAGGGGAUCGCAAGACCUUGUGCUACUAGAGCGGCCGAUGGCAGAUUAGGUAGUUGGUGGGAUAAAAGCUUACCAAGCCGACGAUCUGUAGCUGGUCUGAGAGGACGAUCAGCCACACUGGGACUGAGACACGGCCCAGACUCCUACGGGAGGCAGCAGUGGGGAAUUUUGGACAAUGGGCGAAAGCCUGAUCCAGCAAUGCCGCGUGCAGGAUGAAGGCCUUCGGGUUGUAAACUGCUUUUGUACGGAACGAAAAGCCCCGGGUUAAUACCCUGGGGUCAUGACGGUACCGUAAGAAUAAGCACCGGCUAACUACGUGCCAGCAGCCGCCGUAAUAC